rnacentral:rRNA from 1 species
AGAGCGAACGCUGGCGGCAGGCCUAAUACAUGCAAGUCGAGCGCACCUUCGGGUGAGCGGCGGACGGGUGAGUAACGCGUGGGAAUAUGCCCUUUGGUACGGAACAACUGAGGGAAACUUCAGCUAAUACCGUAUGUGCCCUUCGGGGGAAAGAUUUAUCGCCAUUGGAGUAGCCCGCGUUGGAUUAGGUAGUUGGUGAGGUAAAGGCUCACCAAGCCUACGAUCCAUAGCUGGUCUGAGAGGAUGAUCAGCCACAUUGGGACUGAGACACGGCCCAAACUCCUACGGGAGGCAGCAGUAGGGAAUCUUGCGCAAUGGGCGAAAGCCUGACGCAGCCAUGCCGCGUGAAUGAUGAAGGUCUUAGGAUUGUAAAAUUCUUUACACCGGGGAAGAUAAUGACGGUACCCGGAGAAGAAGCCCGGCUAACUUCGUGCCAGCAGCCGC